rnacentral:ncRNA from 2 species
AGAAUGCGCGCACUUUCGGGUGACUGGCCGGGCUCGCUCCGGCCGGUUGAAACGGGAAGCCGGUGCCGCGCACGCCAGGGAUGCCCCUGGCCGCGCCAUUCCGGCGCUGCCCCCGCAACGGUAAGCAGGACAAGGACAGGCAUACCGCCACUGUGCAUCGAUCGCACGGGAAGGCGCCUGGACGGAAGCGCCGACGCGCCUCGCCUGCGAGCCCGGAGACCGGCCCGGAAGCCGACUGGUUG